AGCGGGUCUCGGUCUCGGUCUCUCCCACGCGGGGCGGCCCCGCGCCAGGGGAAGCGCCGCCGAGACCUUCCGCCCCAGCCGGCGCCUGCCGCCUCCGAGCACACGCCGCCUCCGAGCACACGCCGCCGCGCAGGCAGACGGGAUAUCUCGGAGUUGCUGUGCAGCACCAGCACGCAGGCUGUUGGUGGGAAGGUACAAGGCUGAGCCGUUGCUGGAGGAGGAGAACACGCUCAGAACGGUUUGGUACACGCAGGUGUAGGGCAAAGUUCUGCAUCUUCCUGCCACCUCCUGCCUCUUCAUCUGCUAUUAACUGCCCCUCCCAAGAGAACACUUCUGUAUCCAACAGUGCACGCAGGAAUGGAGAAGGAGCUCUUUCUUUGCUUUCCUUUGUCUUCCUUGAGUUAACAUUUACCUUCUAUAGACCUGUUACAUUAUUCACAUUUUGCUACAGAGUGUGAGCUGUUCUCCUUAUAUGUGGUGGGAAGCAUAUGUAGCUCUACGGGAAAGGUGGAGGGAAGUUUAUUUUUUUUACUUUUCUAUUUAUAUUAGCACAGUGAUCAUUCAUAGUAAAAGCCCAUAACAGGCUAUAGAAAUGUCUUACCAUCACUUGAUCAGAUGUAAGAUGGUAAUAUCAUCCAUGGCAAAACAUUCCCUAUAAAUGCUCCCCUUGUGAACACAUCAAAACCGAAAAGCAGGAAAAACCUACAUGGUCAUCUGGAAAACAUGCCUGAAGGCAGGAAGGAAGAGUGAGAGCUAGAGCUACACACAAACCUGCUGAUUCACACAGCUGCUUUUUUUUUUUCUUUUGUGAAAUCUUGGGCACAAGCCAAUGUUUUCACUCUGUCUUUUCCACCUUCCCAUUUUGUUCUGGUUUGACCCGUUGGUGCAGCCCUCCUGGACCUAGAAGGAAAGUUUGGAAACCCACAUACCUCUGAAAGAAAAGAGCAGUGAGGAGCUGCCACACUGCCCCCUCUGCACGUGGCAUUAAUGCACACAGGAAGGUGCAGCUCCUGACAAAUCCUCACUAAAAUGACCUCUAACUGGAGGCUUGGUCACAUUUUUGGGUUCAACUAGUUAAUGUUUCUAAAUUUUUAGAGGUACUUUUUCAUUUCUAUGCUACUUUGUUUCCUUAGUUCUCAUUCAUACAUAUUUCCUUUGGAGCCUCAGAUACACUAAUGUGACUGUGCUUGUUUGCUUGGUUUGUAUUGUGGAACCACAGAAAACAGCAUCUGGACUAUCUUAUAUGUCCGGUGUAUCACAUAGACAUUAACUAAUGCCUUUUACAUAGGAUUUGCCAUACUGCAUCAGACCCCCAAUCUGUCUAAUCCUAUAUCCUAUUUCCAGCAUUAGCCAACAGCCGAUGAUUCAGAGGAAGUAAAUGCCACCAAUCACUCCCAAAACAGGUACCUUCCCUUUUCACAACCCUGUGUCCAUGACCUACAUUUUAUUUUCUUUUGGGGCUUCAGAUUCUGAAUGGGGAGGUAAGAUAUUUUCCCUUUAUUACACACGUGUCAAUGAAGGAAGGCUGGGAGUUGCCACCACCAGAGUGCCUCUCCCCCAGCUGAAAAGUUUACAGUCUCAACCCAGGUAUUUUCAUACAAUUUUCCUGAUGUUCAAAGGCUGUCAGGUUUCUUGAAUGUAAAUGAAAAGAAAUAAAUAACUGAUUCUUUUU